rnacentral:rRNA from 1 species
AACGCUGGCGGCGGGGUUUAGGCAUGCAAGUCGCGCGAGAAAGCCGCAAGGCAAGUACAGCGGCGUAAGGGUGAGUAAUGGUUCGUCAACGUACCGACUGGACGCGGAUAAUUCUCCGAAAGGGGUUGUAAUACGCGAUGAGACCACGGGCUGUCCGCAGCACGAGGUCAAAGGUCCGGGAUCCUUCGGGACCGGGCGCCGGUUGAGCGGACGAACUCUGAUUAGCUAGUUGGCGGGGUAACGGCCCACCAAGGCUUUGAUCAGUAGCCGGGCUGAGAGGCUGUCCGGCCACACGGGCACUGAGACACUGGCCCGACUCCUACGGGAGGCUGCAGUCGCGAAUCUUUCACAAUGGGCGCAAGCCUGAUGAAGCCACGCCGCGUGCGGGAUGAAGGCCCUCUGGGUUGUAAACCGCUGUCGAGGAAGGGGAACCGCUGCAUGUGAAUAGCAUGCAGUCUGACUGCUUCCUGAAGGAAGCCCCGGCAAAACAUGUGCCAGCAGCCGCGGUAAUACAUGUGGGGCAAGCGUUGUUCGGAAUUACUGGGCAUAAAGGGUGCGUAGGUGGUCUGCUAAGUCAGUGGUGAAAUCCCGCGGCCCAACCGUGGAACUGCCAUCGAUACUGGCGGACUUGAGUGCGUGAGGGGUUACCGGAACGAGCAGUGUAGCGGUGAAAUGCGUAGAUAUUGCUCGGAAGGCCAGAGGCGAAGGCGGGUAACUGGCACGCAACUGACACUGAGGCACGAAAGCGUGGGGAGCAAACAGGAUUAGAUACCCUGGUAGUCCACGCCGUAAACUAUGGGCACUAGAUGGAUGUCGAGCUAUCGAUGUC